UACGUAGGGGGCAAGCGUUGUCCGGAUUUAUUGGGCGUAAAGAGCUCGUAGGUGGUUCGGUAAGUCGGAUGUGAAAUCUCCAGGCUCAACCUGGAGGGGUCAUUCGAUACUGCCGUGACUAGAGGUCGGUAGGGGAGUGUGGAAUUCCCGGGUGUAGCGGUGAAAUUCGUAGAUAUUAGGAAGAACACCAGUGGCGGAAAGGCGGCUCA
rnacentral:rRNA from 1 species